rnacentral:rRNA from 1 species
CAGUCGCCACGGGAAAACGGAGCGUGCAAGCGUUAAUCGGAAUUACUGGGCGUAAAGCGUGCGUAGGCGGUUCGUUAAGUCUGUUGUGAAAGCCCCGGGCUCAACCUGGGAAUGGCAAUGGAUACUGGCGAGCUAGAGUGUGUCAGAGGAUGGUGGAAUUCCCGGUGUAGCGGUGAAAUGCGUAGAGAUCGGGAGGAACAUCAGUGGCGAAGGCGGCCAUCUGGGACAACACUGACGCUGAGGCACGAAAGCGUGGGGAGCAAACAGGAUUAGAUACCCGCGUAGUCCCUGUCUCUUAUAA